AUUGAACGCUAGCGGGAUGCUUUACACAUGCAAGUCGAACGAGUGGCGGACGGGUGAGUAAUAGAUCGGAACGUGCCCAGUAGCUGGGGAUAACUACUCGAAAGAGUGGCUCCUACAGCAUCCUAUUGGAGCUGCCGAUAUCGGAUUAGCUAGUUGGUGGGGUAAAGGCUCACAAAGUCAACGCUCCGUAGCUGGUUUGAGAGGACGACCAGCCACACUGGGACUGAGACACGGCCCAGACUCCUACUGGAGGCAGCAGUGGGGAAUUUUGGACAAUGGGGGAAACCCUGAUCCAGCCAUCCCGCGUGUAUGAGAAGGCCGUCGGGUUGUAAAGUACGUGUGGCAGAGAAGCGGUAUCUGCAGAAUAAGCACCGGCUAACUACGUGCCAGCAGCCGCGGUAAUAC
rnacentral:rRNA from 1 species